AAUGAACGCUGGCGGCAUGCCUAACACAUGCAAGUCGAACGAAGGCUUCGGCCUUAGUGGCGCACGGGUGCGUAACGCGUGGGAAUCUGCCCUCAGGUUCGGAAUAACAGCGAGAAAUUGCUGCUAAUACCGGAUGAUAUCGCGAGAUCAAAGAUUUAUCGCCCGAGGAUGAGCCCGCGUAGGAUUAGCUAGUUGGUGUGGUAAAGGCGCACCAAGGCGACGAUCCUUAGCUGGUCUGAGAGGAUGAUCAGCCACACUGGGACUGAGACACGGCCCAGACUCCUACGGGAGGCAGCAGUGGGGAAUAUUGGACAAUGGGCGAAAGCCUGAUCCAGCAAUGCCGCGUGAGUGAUGAAGGCCUCAGGGUUGUAAAGCUCUUUUACCCGGGAUGAUAAUGACAGUACCGGGAGAAUAAGCUCCGGCUAACUCCGUGCCAGCCGCCGCGGUAA
rnacentral:rRNA from 1 species